rnacentral:misc_RNA from 1 species
UCUCCGUUGGUGAACCAGCGGAGGGAUCAUUACUGGAAUCUCAAGAUCCCACAACCCUGUGAACCUACCGAACCGUUUCCUCGGCGGGUGCCCGGCCUCUGCGCCGGGCGCUGCGCCCGCCGGCGGGCCCCCACUCUGUCUCUGCAACGUGGCAUCUCAGAGUCCUAGAAAACAAGUCAAAACUUUCAACAACGGAUCUCUUGGCUCUA